rnacentral:rRNA from 1 species
UACGAAGGGGGCUAGCGUUGCUCGGAAUCACUGGGCGUAAAGCGCACGUAGGCGGACUCUUAAGUCAGGGGUGAAAUCCUGGAGCUCAACUCCAGAACUGCCUUUGAUACUGAGAGCCUUGAGUUCGGGAGAGGUGAGUGGAACUGCGAGUGUAGAGGUGAAAUUCGUAGAUAUUCGCAAGAACACCAGUGGCGAAGGCGGCUCACUGGCCCGAUACUGACGCUGAGGUGCGAAAGCGUGGGAGCAAACAGGG